AAAUUUAUUUUUUUAUUAUAA
rnacentral:tRNA from 1 species